ACAUACGACCAUACCCAUUGGAAAACUAUCCCGUCCGCUCUCCCAUCAAUGAGGGCUGGAGUAGUAGUCGGGUCGGUGACGACCGGCGAAUGCUCGGUGUUGUAUGUC
rnacentral:rRNA from 2 species